rnacentral:rRNA from 1 species
AUUGAACGCUGGCGGCAUGCCUUACUCAUGCAAGUCGAACGGCAGCACGGGAGCAAUCCUGGUGGCGAGUGGCGAACGGGUGAGUAAUAUAUCGGAACGUGCCCAGUCGUGGGGGAUAACGUAGCGAAAGCUACGCUAAUACCGCAUACGAUCUAUGGAUGAAAGCGGGGGAUCGCAAGACCUCGCGCGAUUGGAGCGGCCGAUAUCAGAUUAGGUAGUUGGUGAGGUAAAGGCUCACCAAGCCGACGAUCUGUAGCUGGUCUGAGAGGACGACCAGCCACACUGGGACUGAGACACGGCCCAGACUCCUACGGGAGGCAGCAGUGGGGAAUUUUGGACAAUGGGCGCAAGCCUGAUCCAGCAAUGCCGCGUGCAGGAUGAAGGCCUUCGGGUUGUAAACUGCUUUUGUACGGAACGAAACGGCGAGCUCUAAUACAGUUUGCUAAUGACGGUACCGUAAGAAUGAGCACCGGCUAACUACGUGCCAGCCGCCGCGGUAA